UACGUAGGUCCCGAGCGUUGUCCGGAUUUAUUGGGCGUAAAGCGAGCGCAGGUGGUUUGUUAAGUCUGGUGUAAAAGGCAGUGGCUCAACCAUUGUAUGCAUUGGAAACUGGUAGACUUGAGUGCAGGAGAGGAGAGUGGAAUUCCAUGUGUAACGGUGAAAUGCGUAGAUAUAUGGAGGAACACCGGUGGCGAAAGCGGCUCUCUGGCCUGUAACUGACACUGAGGCUCGAAAGCGUGGGGAGCAAACAGG
rnacentral:rRNA from 1 species